rnacentral:rRNA from 1 species
GGUAGUCCACGCCGUAAACGAUGAUCACUCGGCCUUUGGGAGCGGUAUUUCCGUUUCUGGGGGCCUCAGCAAACGCGGUAAGUGAUCCGCCUGGGAACUACGAGCGCAAGCUUAAAACUCAAAGGGAAUUGACGGGGGCCCGCACAAGCAGCGGAGCGUGUGGUUUAAUUCGACGCAACGCGCAGAACCUUACCCAGGUUUGACAUGCAGCUGCACGCUGGUGAAAGCCAGUUCCUUCGAGGGUGCUGCACAGAUGCUGCAUGGCUGUCGUCAGCUCGUGUCGUGAGAUGUUGGGUUAAG